rnacentral:lncRNA from 1 species
CAUGGAGGAUUUGCAUUCAAAGUUGUAAAUUAAAAAAGAGAGCCAACAAAGCCAACUUGAAAAUUUCUUGUUCUCACAAUGAUUUAAAAUGCUUAUAUAUAUAUAUAUAUAUAUAUAUUUUUUUUUUUUUUUAAAAAUGCAUUGAUGAUGUUUGUCUGAACAUGAUGUUGGGAUAAAUUUUCUCACAUAUUGUGCAGCAAUGGGAAAAAGUGUUGGCAAUGAGGAUUAUCUAGGAAAAUCUCAUAACUAGGGUUGGUCUCUUCCAAGUGGAGAAGAAAGGAGAGAUGUGCAUAAGCUCUGAAGAAACUUCCUGGAAGAAUUAUUCAGAGACACAUGCAGAUGAUUUGUAGGUGCUGGGUUUCAGAGACAAGCAAGACACUGUUUCUGUUCUGGAAGAACUCAAACUGAUGGAGGAGACAGAAAAUCCAUCAAUUAUGGAAGACUGGAGACGGAAAAAUGGCAAGGGAAAGGCAUGACAUCUUGCCUUUGGGAAGUAGAGAGGUAAAGAGAAGUCUCUUUGGGGGGAGAUGAGCGCUGCUCUGGGAAGGCUUGGCCAAAAAUAGCAAACUGCACAAAGCAUUCCAAGACCAUGCAUUUGAACAUGAAAAUUGCCUGGCUCAUUCAGAGAUUUACAGCUUCUUUUGGUCUAAGUAGACCAGGUUGAGUUAAGCUCAUUAACAACCAAGAAUCCUAAAAAAAACGCCCUCGUUAAUCCAGCUCCUCUCCGCUUCCACUAGCCUAGUGUUGUAUUAUGAAUAUUUGUUAU